rnacentral:miRNA from 1 species
AUCACUUGAGGGUCUUGUUGAAAUGCAGGGUAUGAUUCAGUAGGUCUGGAGUGGGGUCUGAGAUUCUGAAUUUCUAACAAGUUCCCAGGUGAUGCUAAU